rnacentral:rRNA from 1 species
GAUGAACGCUGGCGGCGUGCUUAACACAUGCAAGUCGAACGGAAAGGCCCAAGCUUGCUUGGGUACUCGAGUGGCGAACGGGUGAGUAACACGUGGGUGAUCUGCCCUGCACUUCGGGAUAAGCCUGGGAAACUGGGUCUAAUACCGGAUAGGACCACAUUUUGGAUGGUGUGGUGGAAAGUUUUUCGGUGUGGGAUGAGCUCGCGGCCUAUCAGCUUGUUGGUGGGGUAAUGGCCUACCAAGGCGUCGACGGGUAGCCGGCCUGAGAGGGUGUACGGCCGCAUUGGGACUGGGAUACGGCCCAGACUCCGACGGGGGGCAGCAGUGGGGAAGAUUGCACAAUGGGCGCAAGCCUGAUGCAGCGACGCCGCGUGGGGGAUGACGGCCUUCGGGUUGUAAACUCCUUUCGCUAGGGACGAAGCGUUAUGUGACGGUACCUGGAGAAGAAGCACCGGCUAACUACGUG